rnacentral:rRNA from 1 species
GAUGAACGCUGGCGGCGUGCUUAACACAUGCAAGUCGAACGAAGCAUUUAAGACAGAUUACUUCGGUUUGAGGUCUUUUAUGACUGAGUGGCGGACGGGUGAGUAACUCGUGGGUAACCUGCCUCAUACAGGGGGAUAGCAGCUGGAAACGGCUGGUAAUACCGCAUAAGCGCACAGUACCACAUGGUACAGUGUGAAAAACUCCGGUGGUAUGAGAUGGACCCGCGUCUGAUUAGCUUGUUGGCGGGGUAACGGCCCACCAAGGCGACGAUCAGUAGCCGACCUGAGAGGGUGACCGGCCACAUUGGGACUGAGACACGGCCCAGACUCCUACGGGAGGCAGCAGUGGGGAAUAUUGCACAAUGGAGGAAACUCUGAUGCAGCGACGCCGGGUGAGUGAAGAAGUAGUUCGCUAUGUAAAGCUCUAUCAGCAGGGAAGAUAGUGACGGUACCUGACUAAGAAGCUCCGGCUAAAUACGUG